CCCGGCUGAACUGCUCGAGCCACUUCCCUCGAACGGGGGCAGGAAGCGCCGGCAGGCUGCGGAGGGGGCUCCAGGCGAGCAGGGAGCCCCCUCGGUCUACGAGGGGCUGGAGGAGGUGUACGCUUCGCUCAGCUCCCUGCGCACCGAGGUUGAGCAGCUGAGACGGCCCCUGGGCACCCCCGAGAGUCCCGCUCGCGUCUGCAAGGAGCUGCAGCUUUGCCACCCCCACCUCGAGGACGGCGAGUACUGGAUUGACCCCAACCAGGGCUGCUCCCGAGAUGCCUUCCGGGUUUUCUGCAAUUUCACAGCUGGCGGUGAAACCUGUCUCUUCCCCGAUAAGAAGUUUGAGGCUGUCCGACUCGCAGCCUGGAACAGGGAGAAGCCGGGAACAUGGUACAGCACCUUCAAGAGGGGCAAAAAGGU